GUCCACGCCGUAAACGAUGGGUGCUAGGUGUCGCGGGCUUUGACCCCUGCGGUGCCGCAGCUAACGCAUUAAGCACCCCGCCUGGGAAGUACGGCCGCAAGGCUAAAACUCAAAGGAAUUGACGGGGGCCCCGCACAAGCGGUGGAGCAUGUGGUUUAAUUCGACGCAACGCGAAGAACCUUACCUGGGCUAGAAAACACAGGAACCUGGUUGAAAAGUCGGGGUGCUCUUCGGAGAACCUGUGGUUAGGUGCUGCAUGGCUGUCGU
rnacentral:rRNA from 1 species